rnacentral:rRNA from 1 species
AACGUAGGAGACAAACGUUAUCCGGAGUUACUGGGCGUAAAGGGCGUGUAGGUGGUUUGUAAGUCUGGCGUUGAAAUUUUUCGGCUUAACCGGGAAAGGUCGUCGGAUACUGCAGAACUAGAGGACGGUAGAGGCGUGUGGAAUUCCGGGUGUAGUGGUGAAAUGCGUAGAGAUCCGGAGGAACACCAGUGGCGAAGGCGACACGCUGGGCCGUACCUGACACUGAUGCGCGACAGCAUGGGGAGCAAACGAGGA